GACGAACCGUGCGAACGUUGUUCGGAAUCACUGGGCUUAAAGGGCGCGUAGGCGGCUUGCCAAGUCAGGGGUGAAAUACUUCAGCUUAACUGGAGAAGUGCCUUUGAUACUGGCGGGCUUGAGGGAGGUAGGGGUCUUUGGAACUUCUGGUGGAGCGGUGAAAUGCGCAGAUAUCAGGAGGAACACCGGUGGCGAAGGCGGGUCUCUGGGCCGUAACUGACGCUGAGGAGCGAAAGCAUGGGGAGCGAACAGG
rnacentral:rRNA from 1 species